rnacentral:rRNA from 1 species
GGUGAACGCUGGCGGUAGGCCUAACACAUGCAAGUCGAACGGCAGCACAGUAAGAGCUUGCUCUUACGGGUGGCGAGUGGCGGACGGGUGAGGAAUACAUCGGAAUCUACUUUUUCGUGGGGGAUGACGUAGGGAAACUUACGCUAAUACCGCAUACGACCUACGGGUGAAAGCAGGGGAUCUUCGGACCUUGCGCGAUUGAAUGAGCCGAUGUCGGAUUAGCUAGUUGGCGGGGUAAAGGCCCACCAAGGCGACGAUCCGUAGCUGGUCUGAGAGGAUGAUCAGCCACACUGGAACUGAGACACGGUCCAGACUCCUACGGGAGGCAGCAGUGGGGAAUAUUGGACAAUGGGCGCAAGCCUGAUCCAGCCAUACCGCGUGGGUGAAGAAGGCCUUCGGGUUGUAAAGCCCUUUUGUUGGGAAAGAAAAGCAGCAGGUUAAUACCCCGCUGUUCUGACGGUACCCAAAGAGUAAGCACCGGCUAACUUCGUG